rnacentral:misc_RNA from 1 species
GGUAGGAGCCGGCUUGCUGGCGAUGGCGUCAACGCGUGUUUCAGAUAAACCGCAGUGAUGCCAUCGCCAGCAAGCCGGCUCCUACA